AUUGAACGCUGGCGGCAGGCCUAACACAUGCAAGUCGAACGAGUGGCGGACGGGUGAGCAAUGUAUGGGAAACUGCCUGAUGGAGGGGGAUAACUACUGGAAACGGUAGCUAAUACCGCAUACCAUGGGAUCUGCCGAGAUGGGAUUAGCUAGUAGGUGGGGUAAAGGUAAACCAAGGCGACGCUCCCUAGCUGGUCUGAGAGGAUGACCAGCCACACGGGAACUGAGACACGGCCCAGACUCCUACGGGAGGCAGCAGUGGGGAAUCUUGCGCAAUGGGCGCAAGUCGGACGCAGCCAUGCCGCGUGUAUGAAGAAGGCUUUCGGGUUGUAAAGUACUUUCAGCGGGGAGGCGUUACCCGCAGAAGAAGCAACGGCUAACUCCGUGCCAGCCGCCGCGGUAAUUC
rnacentral:rRNA from 1 species